rnacentral:rRNA from 1 species
AGGACGAACGCUGGCGGCGUGCUUAACACAUGCAAGUCGAGCGGAAAGGCCCUUCGGGGUACUCGAGCGGCGAACGGGUGAGUAACACGUGAGUAAUCUGCCCCUAGCUCUGGGAUAGCUCCGGGAAACCGGGAUUAAUACCAGAUACGACCACUUUAGACAUCUGCUGUGGUGGAAAGAAUUUCGGCUAGGGAUGAGCUCGCGGCCUAUCAGCUUGUUGGUGAGGUAACGGCUCACCAAGGCGACGACGGGUAGCCGGCCUGAGAGGGCGACCGGCCACACUGGGACUGAGACACGGCCCAGACUCCUACGGGAGGCAGCAGUGGGGAAUAUUGCACAAUGGGCGCAAGCCUGAUGCAGCAACGCCGCGUGAGGGACGACGGCCUUCGGGUUGUAACCUCUUUAGUAGGGAAGAAGCGAAAGUGACGGUACCUGCAGAAAAGCACCGGCUAACUACGUGCCAGCAGCCGC